UACGGGAGGCAGCAGUGGGGAAUAUUGCACAAUGGGCGAAAGCCUGAUGCAGCUAUGCCGCGUGUAUGAAGAAGGCCUUAGGGUUGUAAAGUACUUUCAUCGGGGAGGAAAAAACAAAACUAAUAAUUUUAUUUCUUGACGUUACCCGAAAAAGAAGCACCGGCUAACUCCGUGCCAGCAGCCGCGGUAAUACGGAGGGUGCUAGCGUUAAUCAGAAUUACUGGGCGUAAAGAGCACGUAGGUGGUUUUUUUAAAGUCAGAUGUGAAAUCCCUGGGCUUUAACCUAGGAACUGCAUUUUGAAACUGAAAUACUAGAGUAUCGUAGAGGGAGGUAGAAUUCUAGGUGUAGCGGUGAAAUGCGUAGAUAUCUGGAGGAAUACCUGUGGCGAAAGCGGCCUCCUAAACGAAUACUGACACUGAGGGUGCGAAAGCGUGGGGAGCAAACGAGGGAUUAGAUACCCG
rnacentral:rRNA from 1 species